rnacentral:lncRNA from 1 species
GUUUGUACCCCAAAUUCGACUCAUAAAGUCGCGAUCAAGUUUUUGGCGCCGUUGCCGGGGACUUUUAUUUAAUCGAUAUCGUAACUCUUCCGUUACGCUGUAGAGACUAAGGUUUCUUUUUCUUCUAUUCUUUCUUUCGUUGAUUUGUAUGCCACGCACUCGCUCACAAGGCGAACCGCUCUAUUUACGAAUCAACGAUAUCGAACUAUAUCUCCGAGUCUUACGACGAAUUCGGGAAUAUCGUGCUGCAAACAAUCUCCCUCCUAUAGAACUUCCUGAUUUCAAAAACCUUUUUCCUUCGAUAACCGAGAUGGCAGAACCAGCUCGUGCUCUUAGAGAUUACGCCGCUCCAUCGCAAGAUGAGCCGCAUUCAAGUAUUGCU